rnacentral:lncRNA from 1 species
GGUUGGUGAGCCUGGAGAACCAAUUAGGUUGAUAGUGAAUCUAAAAAACUAUCGAUGUAAAGUUUUGAUUGAUGAGCUCAAAAAAUCAACUAGGUUGGUAGUGAGCCCAAAAAACUAUCGGUGUAAGUUGUGGUUGGUGAUCCCAAAAAAUCAAUUAGAUUUGUUUGUGAGCCCAAAAAAAUAAAUGCACUAUAAUCAGAGGGGUUAUUGUAAAAUUCUCAAGGAGAGCUU